GGCAUACCUGUUCGAGCGUCAUUACACCCUCAAGAUAACUCUUUGGCGUUGGGCAAUGCCUAAAGGCAUGCCUCAAAUCAGCGAUGGUGAUAUUCAACCACAGGCGCACAAAUGUCGUCUAGCUGGCGGGAUGUUGUCAGUCAAUUGAUGAAUUUCUAAAUGUUGACCUCGGAUCAGGUAGGAAUACCCGCUGAACUUAA
rnacentral:misc_RNA from 1 species